rnacentral:rRNA from 1 species
CGGAUAAUGGCUGAACGCCUCUAAGUCAGAAUCCGUGCCGGAACGCGGCGAUGUUGCCCCGCACGUCGUAGUUGGAUACGAAUAGGCCUCCGGGCCCUGUACCUCAGCAGGCUGGCGACGGCCCCCGGGGAGAAGCCCUCGGGAGCCGGCUGGCGGAUUGCAAUGUCACCUCGCGCGGGGAUGAAUCCUCUGCAGACGACUGAUGUGACCAAGCGGGUCGUGUAAGCGGUCAAGUAGCCUUGUUGCUACGAGUCGCUGAGCGUCAGCCCGACCUUGGCUCGAUUUGU